rnacentral:rRNA from 1 species
CGAAUUCAGACAAACUCCGAAUGCCAAUUAAUUUAACUUGGGAGUCAGAACAUGGGUGAUAAGGUCCGUGUUCGAAAGGGAAACAGCCCAGACCACCAGCUAAGGUCCCAAAAUAUAUGUUAAGUGGAAAAGGAUGUGGCGUUGCCCAGACAACUAGGAUGUUGGCUUAGAAGCAGCCAUCAUUUAAAGAGUGCGUAAUAGCUCACUAGUCGAGUGACACUGCGCCGAAAAUGUACC